GGGGAUGGCAUUAACAAACUCAAGGAAGGGGGAUGCUCUAAACAAACUCUUGGAAAGGGAAUGAAUUACAAAAUCUCCAUGAAAAAGAAUGACCUAAGAAGCUAAAGCAAGGGUGACGCCCUAAUGUAACUCAAGGGAGUGGGAUGGCCUAAGGAAAUUCAAGGAACAUGGAUGCACAAAACAAACUAAAGGAAGGGGAUACCCUAAUAAAACUAUAGGAAAGCGGAUGCCUUAAACAAACUCUAAGAAGGGAAAUG
rnacentral:lncRNA from 1 species